rnacentral:RNase_P_RNA from 1 species
GGCGGUCGCCUCGUGAAAACGGGGAGGAAAGUCCGGACUCCGCAGGGCGGGGAGUCCUCGGUCAAGGAGGAUGCCGCGGACCAGAUUCCGCGGAAAGGAAAGCGCAGCAGAAAACAAACCGCCGGAGCAAUCCGGCAAGGGUGAAAAGGCGGGGUAAGAGCCCGCCGCGGAGAGGAGCAAUCCCUCCGGCAGUGCAAGCCCCUCCCGGAGCAAGGCCAAAUAGGGAAUGAGUCGCUGCCCGCGACGUUUGAAUUCCGGGUUCUGGCCGCAUAGACAGAUGAUCGCCCCCCGAAAGGGUGACAGAAUCCGGCUUAUGCCGCAUC